rnacentral:rRNA from 1 species
AUUGAACGCUGGCGGCAUGCCUUACACAUGCAAGUCGAACGGCAGCACGGGGGCAACCCUGGUGGCGAGUGGCGAACGGGUGAGUAAUACGUCGGAACGUGCCCUGAAGUGGGGGAUAACGUAGCGAAAGUUACGCUAAUACCGCAUAUUCUGUGAGCCGGAAAGAGGGGGAUCGCAAGACCUCUUGCUUUAGGCGCGGCCGAUGUCGGAGUAGCUAGUUGGUGAGGUAAAAGAUCACCAAGGCGACGAUCCGUAGCGGGUCUGAGAGGAUGACCCGCAAGACUGGGACGGAGACACGGCCCAGACUCCUACGGGAGGCAGCAGUGGGGAAUGUUUGACAAUGGGCGCAAGCCUGAUGCAGCCAUGCCGCGUGAGUGAAGAAGGCCUUCGGGUUGUAAAGCUCUUUCGGCGGGGAAGAAAUUGCUUAGGUUAAUACCUUGAGUAGAUGACGGUACCCGCAUAAGAAGCACCGGCUAACUUCGUGCCAGCAGCCGCGGUAAAAC